GAUUUUGACUGAAAAAGUCAUCAGCAACAAAGUUGUAUAACUCAUCAAUAUCUAUAACUUUUAUUUUGGUCAUUUUAUCAUUCGAUAAAGUAAUAGUAACAUUGUUCACAAAAUUUACAUAUCUAUCUUCUCUUAUAGUUUAUAAACUAUAUAAGAGAUAUGUACAUUUUGUGAAUAAUGUUACAAAUCGUUUUGUCGGAUGAAGAAAUAACCCAAAUAAAUGUUAUAGAUCUUGAUGAAUUAUUAUACCACUUUGUUAUUGAUGACUUUUUCAGUUGAAAUC
rnacentral:pre_miRNA from 1 species